rnacentral:tRNA from 1 species
GAGGGUAUAGCUCAGUUGUAGAGUGCAUGCCUAGCAUACAUGAGGUCCUGGGUUCAAUCCUCAGUAUCUCCG